rnacentral:rRNA from 1 species
GCCACUGCUGUUGGGGUUCGGCUAAGCCAUGCGAGUGGAGGGCGCGGUCGAAAGAUCGUGGCCCCGCACACGGCUCAGUAACACGUCGUCAACCCACCUUAGGGUGGGGGACAACCUCGGGAAACUGAGGAUAAUCCCCCAUAGGCGGGGGAGGCUAGAAUGCGCCCCCGCUGAAAGCUCAGGCGCCCUAGGACGGGACGGCGGCCUAUCAGGUAGUUGGUGGUGUGACG